rnacentral:lncRNA from 1 species
AGCAACUCUCAUGUAAGCCAACAUCUUGUCAUAGUCAGGAAUGUUCUCUUUAAUCACAGGAACUUCAAUGAAGUUCUUAGCCCAAGCAUGUAAUUUAGGUAACGUGCUUGGUUCCAGCACUUUUACACCCACUGCUUCUUCCAUCGCCGGCAACCAGUAAGCACAUGGUCCAUAUGAGAUGUCUACUAGAUUUAUAUUGUCGCCCCCAAAAAACUUUUUGUCUCCGAGGGCUUGAUCUUCUAGGAUUUUCAGCACUUCCAUUAUUUCUUUUGCUGCCUUCUCCUUUUCUUCUUCGCUUGCUACGAAGAACGCUCCAAAAGCAUCGGCACACUGGAUUAUAAGGGGGAAAAAAUGGUCAUGGAGGCAUUUCGUAAACAAAAAUAAAUGAUUGAGUGCAAAUUUCUAAUUCCUGUGGACAUUUCCAAGAAAAAAUAGUGAAAAAAAUAUUAAUUUAAAUAUUUUCUAAAAACUUUUUAUAAAACCAUCUGAUGGCUAAGAAGAUAUGCUAAUUUUUUAUAUCUUUUACGUUCAAACUUUAAAAUCAUUAAAAGAAAUCAUUAAUUUUUUCUACAUAUACCAUGUCAAUGUGGUGAAUAAGCUUCUAAGAUCAUUAAAAAAAAAAAAGGAUAGGACUGCCCCCCAAAAUAUUGUUAGGCCUUGUGAACUCUGUAGCACAGUGUGUGUAUCUAUCUAUGUUACAUAGGGUAAUUGAGGCCAUGGGUUCACGGGAAUUGUUUACCUUGGUGGCUCCGUAUUGGAUCCAAAAUCGAGCCAUGGCUCUGUCGUAAAGAUCUCUUGGCAGCAAGGGAUUCUCCGGCCAUGUUUCUUCAAUGUAUUCUAGAAUGACAAGAGACUCAGCAAUUGGCUUGCCGUCAUGAACAAGGACUGGGAUCUUUUUAUAAAUUGGAUUGUAUUUCAAUAGCAAUUCACUCUUGUUAAGAAGGUCUUCUUCUAUGUAUUCAUACUCUACACCUUUUAAUUUCAGAGCCCAGAUAACUCUGCAGCUAAAAGGGCUGGACCAGAAACCAUGUAGCUUCACUUCUGCCAUUGUUGUGGUGAGUUGAAGAACUCAAGAUUGCAAGGUAUGAGUCGUUUUAUAGUGAUCUAUGGCUUGGGCAAUAAGAUUGGGUUUGGAAAUUUGGAUACAAGGAGCAUUUUUUAUUUUAUUUUUUCCAAGUAAUGACGUGACGAAGCCAACAACUUUGGAUUUUUAUUUAUUAAAAUACGGAUAUUGCUACGGUCAAGAUGCCAAGAUAUACUGCUGUGCCAAGUCGUUUUAUAAUCUAUAAUGACUCUUGCUUGGGCAAGGGGAAGGGGAAGGCCAAAAUGGCCGCCGGUGGAAGGUUUUUUUCUCUAUGAUACAGAUGUGACAGUUAUAGCUAUUGAAUUUGAAUAUAGUAACGACUACAAUGACUUCAAUGGCUGUAUUUCUUAUAACAAAACUGUGGAUUUUGCAUAACCCAAAUCUCAUUAAAUUAGAAUAAAAAUAUCAGAAAAGCUUUCUGCAUCAGUUCUUACAGGCCCAAGGAUGAUCAAGUCGGUAACAGUAGAUCUCUUCUAUUUAUUUAUUUUUCCCGCAACUAAACAACUACCCUUAUGGACCAAUGGGUUUUUAUCUGGAUUUUGCAAAACUCCAGGUAUUAUCAAAUAAAAAAUCCAACUGAGGAAAAUCCAAGGUGCUCUCAAUGCACAAGCAGAACCACUGAAAAAUUCCAUAGAAAAUAGUUCAGCCGAAGAGAAACAAUAACUAAGCUUUUGCUUUUAUGGACUUGUACUGCUUCAUCUCCUUAAUAACACCAUCUGCAAGAGCAUCAGCAUCGUUGUUCUUCCCAAAGAAUUUCACUAGUUCCAUGUUAGGGUCCAUCAAGUAUCUGCACAAGAUUAUGGAGAUAUUGUUAACAAACAGAAAUUUAAAAACAAAGGUUGAAAACGUAGUCCCCCUCUGAUGUUGAAAAUGUUAUAUGCUACGUAAGCUCCAUUAAUUGUCUGUUUUAAGUCUCCACUAGGAGUAGACAUUAUUCUUGUCAUACUCGAGCCACCAAAGAAGUAGAGAGUUUAAGAGAUGGAAAGUUAAUUUGAAAGUUUGAAGUUCACGGAAAGGGAGUUCAAUUAACACUAAGCACGCCCAUAAGAAAUAUUUACGUGAUUAUGGAGUGAUCCACAAGGUAAUCUGAAUCUUCUUCAGAUGUCUUCAUAUAAUAGAUCCUGUAUGCACGAGCAGUUUUCUUUAUCUCUUCUGGGCUGCCUGUUAACCCGAUUAGUUUUGGAUGGAACUCUGUAAUGGAGGAAAAGAUAAAAAAAUCACUAAUUAAAUUACAAGUAGAACAUGGUAAUAAAUUAAAAUUGUAAUCCAAAUGUGUGUAUAGAAUCACCUUUGACAUUAUCUCUCUCGGGAUCCACAGUUAUGUAUACAUUACAAACCACGAUAUCAAUUUUUUUAGAGUAAAAACAACAUGAGAUAAAAAAAAUCAAUAAGUUUUUAUUAGAUCGUGGGAUAAUUUAAGUUUUUUUUUUAUUUUGAAUUGAUUUUUUAAUCAAUCGACUUCAGCUAAACAUAUGAUCAAUCUGGAUUUAUGUAAUAGCUAAAAUAAAUUUUCUUAUCCUUAUCUUAAAAAAAAAAAAAAAGUAACUAGGAAUGGUUUUAUUUCAAUUCAAUUGCUACAAAAAGCUUGAGCAAGCAACCAAAUCCAAAGCCCUUUGUGUUCGCGUUUCUAUCAACUUUCCCAUUAAAUAAAAAAAAACUCAAUAAAUUAGCAAUUCUUUUUCAAGAAGCAAACUAGUAACAUUUAUUUAUUGUUUUCUUAAACUAGCACCUCUAACACAAACAAGUGUACCCAUGUGUAGCCCAGCAGUGGUAGGGUUUUCUACCUCUGCAUCCUGGGUUCAAGCUUCAGCGUGCACGCCUGUUACUCAUGUGAUGUCUUAUCUGUUUACUGGACUUGCAGGGUGUUCAGUGGGCCCGAGAAUUAAUCGUGGUGCGUGUAAGCUGACACCCCGGGUUAUAAAAAAAAAAAAAAAAAAGUGUACCCAUGUGUCUUCCUAUUGGCAGCUACCUCUACAUAUAAUAUUGUUGGCGAUCUUAUCUAAGCCAAUUUCCUUACAAUUUCAAAUGUGACAAAUUGAAUAAGACAGCUCUCAAACAAAAUAUACAAAAGUACAAAACAUAGGCAAACUUUAAUAAAGAAACUAAGAACCGAAGAGGACGGCUAGGAGACUGGAGCACAAGACAGAUUUAGGCCUUGUUGUGUCGGUCGAGGAAGAGGCAGAGUGGACCGUUGCCAUCCAUUUUUGUUUUAAAUGCACCUUCUACAUCAAAUUAAGCUAAAUGUGUCUCUCCCUCCCGAGCUCUCAAAACUAUAUAAUAUUUGAUGAAGAAGAUAUCGGAGGUGUUGAGAUGUCAGAUGUUGAUCUUGAUAAGACAAACCACCGCAAAUGAUAGGAUGACAGUAGUGUAGAUGAUGUUUUUCAUGUUCUUAAAGUAGUUUGAUCAUAACUUCAGCUCUGGAUGUUAGAACGCCACAGGCUAUCAUUUCAGAGUGUGUGUUGCUGGUGAUCUUUCAUAAUUUAAGUAAUUUUUAUUUUUUUCUUUUCUUUGAGCGAAAAAAAAAACUAAAAAGAGAUUCAUGGUCCAUGUUUCGAGCCUCAAAUUCCUGUUGUUUUAGGUAUUAAUUUGUUUUCUUUUUUUUUAUCCUUAAAUAUUUUUAUAAAUUCUUAGGAAUUGAAAAACAUUUUUAUUUUAUUGAAUAAUCAGGAUUUAUUAUUUUUAUAAUUUUACUAAUUACCUUAACCCAACUUGUGGGCUAAUUCGGCAAUUCAAUAAUAAUUCAGACUUUCUAUUAUUUUAUGAGACUAUUAUCUAGUGUUGACCUUAAACCCUUGUGAUUUUCAAUUCCUUAAUAAAUUCCUUUUCGAAAUAGUUGUAGAUGAGAGUUUGUCUUUUAUCAUUUUGGAUUUGAGUUUUGAAAAAGAACACGAAAAAUAAAUCUCUUCAUAAAUAUAUCAAUCUAAAUAUAAAUUAUUCAUAUAGAAUCCAACUAUAAUAUUUCAUAAAAACCAACCUAUGAAUUAUAUAGAAAAUACCUCUUUGUUUAAAAUAAAAAAAAAUCUCAAUUUAUUCUUUAACCAAAAAUUUUAUUAAUCUGAUAAAACUUAUAUUAAAAAAAUUAUAAGAAAAGGAUUUAACUGAGUUUUUUUUUUGUGAAGUUGUGUCGCGCGCUUACCAAUUCAGUUUCACACAAUUAGAGUGUCGCUAGAAAUUCAUACUGUGAGUGUUUCCUUUUUUCUUUAAAAAAAAAAGCAUUUUGCUUCUUCAAUCCCUCUCGGGCUGAUUGUUUUUCCUUCUGUGUGUUGGCUCCAGUUUCUUUAUUUCUUUGUCAAGCAUCGUUCAAAACUGAAACCAUUUAUCUUUGUAAAAGAUUGAUCAUAUAGUGGCUUUACAAAACGAUCCCAAUUCGAUUACUUGAGAGAAGAUUUCUGUCAUAUCUCACGUCGGUGGGUGAGGGAUUUGUAACUGUUCUUAUUAAGAGUGUUAGUUGUUAACUUGUCAUGCGCGUUUUGGAGCGUAAGACUCAAAAAUAGGCUCGCGUCACCAGGAACAAAACCAUGAGGGUAAUAAGGCCCAAAGCGGACAAUAUAUAGCAAGUUGGACUGUUACAUUUGGUAUCAGAGCCGACCUCACUGGCUGUCCAGUUGUGCCGACGGGGUCGUCGGACUCUUUAAGGGGGAUGGGUUAUCAUAUCUCAUAUCAACAGGUAAGGGAUUGGUAAUUGUCCUUAUUAAGAGUGCUGGUUGCUAACUUGUCAUAUGUCUUUUGAGGUGUCAGGCUCAGAAAUAGACUCACGUAAUCAGGAACAAAACCGUGAGGGUAAUGAGGCCCAAAAAGAACAAUAUAUGGCAAGUUGAGCUGGGUUAUUACAAUCAAUCACAAGCUAUUAAUCAUUUUAUCUAAGAAAAUAAAUAAAACUACAAUGACCAAUUAAUUAACUAAUUAUCUAAUAUAAAAACUUUAUUUAUAAGCUAAUUGUAUUUUCUGAAACUCAUCAAACAACAUGAAUGGCUGCCGCCACCAUUAUUAGUUAUUCAGAGAUAAAGGUUACAUAACCAAAGCAAAGACAUACAUGGAAUAUACUUUCAAAAAUCGAAAGUAUUACAAAGGCUAGUUCUUGCCUAACUUCUCCCUAGCAACUCUCGAAUAGGCCAUCAUCUUGUCAUAGUCAGGAAUGUUCUCUUUAAUCACAGGAACUUCAAUGAAGUUCUUAGCCCAGGCAUGUAAUUUAGGUAACGUGCUUGGUUCCAACACUUUUACACCCACUGCUUCUUCCAAGGCCGGCAACCAGUAAGUACACGGUCCAUAUGAGAUGUCUACUAGAUUUAUACUGUCACCGCCAAAAAACUUUUUGUCUCCGAGGGCUUGAUC